rnacentral:tRNA from 1 species
GGGGGGGUGCCAGAGUGGUCGAAUGGGGCCGCCUGCUAAGCGGUUUUCCGGGUUAUACCGGAACGCAGGUUCGAAUCCUGUCCCUCCCG